CCCAACUGGGCAGAGGGAUCCUCCUCCCAUCAUCAGUGCUGUGCUCUGCCAUUGCCUGCUGCUAUUGCCAACUGCCUUAUUGUUUGCUGCUGAACUCCUCUGCCGCGAGUUACCAGAAGCAGACCCUGGAUGCCUGCAUGUGAUCAGCCUGUGUGGCCAGCUGACAUCAUGCUGAGACUGCACCACAUCUGCCUCUGCACCUGAAAGUCCUGCUUAGCAGUCCUGGACAGAACAGAUCAUCCAGAAGAAGCCAGGAGACAAGGCCAGAGGUCAUCUGCAUCUUUCCCCAGAAGCCAGGAAGAUUCAAGUCUCAACAUCCAACAAGACAGAGUCUCCUGAAAGCAUUUGGGCACUGUCAGGACUGUGACUAAGCCCCUACGAGUCUGAUAAUAAUUUGUAAAUGCUUAAAUGCCUCCAUUGCCUUCUGCCAUGAGCAGAAAGAGCUUGAGCCCAUCUACUGGGCAAGCAGCAUAUUGACCACAAGCAGCAUUUGACUGUGGAAUCUUCUCUUCCAGUUCAAUUGAUGUUUAUGUAUUUUCCUGGUUAUUACUAGAUCUAGAUAUUAUCCACAGAAUGUUUCCAUGACUGCAUAAGAACCAAAAUAUGAUUAAAAUGAGUGGUUGGGCAUGGAGAGAGUUCUGAAUAGCAAUGUUAAUAAACAAUAUUAAGUUUGGAAAAAUA